rnacentral:rRNA from 1 species
AACGUAGGUGGCAAGCGUUAUCCGGAUUUACUGGGCGUAAAGCGUGUGCAGACGGGGCUUCAAGUGGUGUAUGAAAUCCCUCGGCUCAACCGGGGAACUGCGUGUGAGACUGGAUGGCUUGAGUUUGGGAGAGGAAUGCGGAAUUCCAGGUGUAGCGGUGAAAUGCGUAGAUAUCAAGAGGAACACCUGCGGCGAAGGCGGGUUGCUGGGCCGACACUGACGCUGAGGCGCGAAAGCUAGGGGAGCAAACGGG